rnacentral:rRNA from 1 species
GCAUAUCAAUAAGCGGAGGAAAAGAAACCAACAGGGAUUGCCUCAGUAACGGCGAGUGAAGCGGCAACAGCUCAAAUUUGAAAUCUGGCCCCAGGCCCGAGUUGUAAUUUGCAGAGGAUGCUUUUGGCGCGGUGCCUUCCGAGUUCCCUGGAACGGGACGCCAUAGAGGGUGAGAGCCCCGUACGGUUGGACACCAAGCCUUUGUAAAGCUCCUUCGACGAGUCGAGUAGUUUGGGAAUGCUGCUCUAAAUGGGAGGUAUAUUUCUUCUAAAGCUAAAUAUAGGCCAGAGACCGAUAGCGCACAAGUAGAGUGAUCGAAAGAUGAAAAGCACUUUGAAAAGAGGGUUAAACAGCACGUGAAAUUGUUAAAAGGGAAGCGCUUGUGACCAGACUUGCGUCCGGUGAAUCACCCAGCUCUCGCGGCUGGGGCACUUUGCCGGCACAGGCCAGCAUCAGCUCGCUGUCGGGGACAAAAGCUUCGGGAACGUAGCUCUCUUCGGGGAGUGUUAUAGCCCGUUGCAUAAUACCCUUCGGUGGGCUGAGGUACGCGCUCCGCAAGGAUGCUGGCGUAAUGGUCAUCAGCGACCCGUCUUGAAACACGGACCAAGGAGUCAACCUUAUGUGCGAGUGUUUGGGUGUUAAACCCCUACGCGUAAUGAAAGUGAACGCAGGUGAGAGCUUCGGCGCAUCAUCGACCGAUCCUGAUGUUCUCGGAUGGAUUUGAGUAAGAGCAUAUAGGGUUGGACCCGAAAGAAGGUGAACUAUGCGUGUAUAGGGUGAAGCCAGAGGAAACUCUGGUGGAGGCUCGCAGCGGUUCUGACGUGCAAAUCGAUCGUCAAAUAUGCGCAUGGGGGCGAAAGACUAAU